rnacentral:rRNA from 1 species
CUAGCCAACUUUGGCUGAUCUCAAAAAGCUAAGCAGAGUCAAACUUAGUUAGUACUUGGAUGGGAGACCACCAAGAAAUCCUAGGAGUGUAGGCCAGU